UACGUAGGGUGCAAGCGUUUAAUCGGAAUUACUGGGCGUAAAGCGUGCGCAGGCGGUUGUGCAAGACAGAUGUGAAAUCCCCGGGCUCAACCUGGGAAUUGCAUUUGUGACUGCACGGCUAGAGUGUGUCAGAGGGGGGGUAGAAUUCCACGUGUAGCAGUGAAAUGCGUAGAUAUGUGGAGGAAUACCGAUGGCGAAGGCAGCCCCCUGGGAUAACACUGACGCUCAUGCACGAAAGCGUGGGGAGCAAACAGG
rnacentral:rRNA from 1 species